GACGAACGCUGGCGGCGUGCUUAACACAUGCAAGUCGAACGGAAAGGCCGUGCUUUGGUGGGGAGCGCGAAGGGCGAACGGGUGAGUAACACGUGUGUAACGUACACUUGUCGUUGGGAUGACGUCAGGAAACUGGGGCUCAUACCGGGUAGGAGCUACUGGUGCAUGGUGGGGGCUGGAAAGUUUCGGUGGUUGGGGAUGGACUCGCGGCGCAUCAGGUUGGUGGUGUGGUAGUGGCUUACCAAGGCUUUGAGAGGUAGCCGACCUGGUAGGGGGAGCGGCCACGUUGGGAUGGGGAUACGGCCCGGCCUACUACGGGAGGCAACGGAGGAGAAUAGUGCACAAGGGGAUGAAGGCUGAUGCGGCCACGCCGCGUGCGGGAUGACGGCCUUCGGGUUGUAAACCGAUUUCCUCUGAGCCGAAGCGUGAGUGACGGUAAUGGGUAAAGAAGCACCGGCUAACUACGUG
rnacentral:rRNA from 1 species